rnacentral:lncRNA from 1 species
UAAUCUGAUAUUAAGUUUAUAAAACCCAUACUAAAACAAAUGAAAGAAAAAGCCAUUUCGCUGUUCUGCUUGUCCCAGCACUGGACCAGCUCUCUGUGCUUGCCACCAUAGAUUCUGCUGCCCCCCUGAACCCUGUGCAGCUUGCUGCAGCAGAUGCCCAUCAUCGGCAUCUGCUGGGUCUGCUAGCUCAAAAUCGGAAAAACUGCUGCGAGGUUUUUUAAGAACUUCAUAAGGGAUCUCCCUCAUUGCCUUGCAUGUUUUCACACCUCUUGCCUGAACUCCAGCAAGAUGUGCUCGCACUCGCUCCGCUCCCCCAGUGUGAAUCUCAUGACAAUACUUACAUGUCCAGUGCCGCUCUGCUCGUAUCACAUGCUUCCAGCUCCAGCAUUCGUGGCAUCCUCC